UUUUAAUUGGAUAGCAGCCAGCUGAAGAAGAAGAUGGACCAGGGCGACUCUGUGGAGAACAGACAACCGCGAGGGCACAGCUGAAUCUUCAACUACAGCAAAUCACCUCUCCUUUAUUGCUCUUCUCCGGCGAUUUCUCUGAUGCUCCGAUUUGGAUUCGAGGUCUCAAAACUAUUCUCACCAGUGGACUUAAUCCCGGUCCAGUCACGUUAUCCAGAGAUGAUGUCUCAGAAACUCAUCGCCGCCUCUUCUCCAUGCCAAGUUGUUCUGUUGGAUUGUAACUCUAUAGGAUCGAACUCAUUUCUGGUUCCUCGCAAUCUGAACUACCGGCUCACUAAAGUGAGCAGAAAGCUGAGUGUCUGUCGACUCAGGGCUAGCUUCUGGGAAUCUAUCAAAUCCGGGUUCUUGAACAAUAAUACUACCCAAGUGGUUGAUCCCCCUUCCACACUUCAGGAAGAGGAAGAAGAACCUUUGCCUGAGGAGUUUGUUCUUACUGAGACGACAUUAUCAGAUGGAAUAAUCGAACAAAUAAUAUUUUCUUCCGGUGGAGAUAUUGAUAUAUAUGAUCUUCAAGCCCUUUGUGAUAAGGUAGGUUGGCCUCGUAGACCACUACCAAAGUUGGCUGCAGCCCUUAGAAACAGUUAUAUGGUAGCUGCAUUAUAUUCGACACAGAAGUCUCCUGUUUCAGAUGAAAAUGCACAAAAGAAGCUGAUUGGUAUGGCUCGUGCCACAUCAGAUCACGCGUUCAAUGCUACAAUUUGGGAUGUUCUUGUGGAUCCUUCUUAUCAGGCAUUUGGGGCUGCAUUAAAAGUAAGCUCAGAAGACUGCAAAUAUUGACAUCAAAAGAUCUGGGACUUCAUUCUUUGGUUGUACUAAUCAGAGAACAACUUGAGGGCGUAAAUUUGAUAUAAAACCCAUGUUCUUGGACUAUCUUGUACAUUAGAACCUGAAUAGAUAUUAUUUUUUAUGGUAUGCUAAACAUUCUAAUACAAGUGAUGAUGCUUUUGUGGUUCAGGGCCAAGGACUCGGUAAGGCCCUAGUUGAAAAGCUUAUAAGGGCACUUUUGCAAAGGGAUAUUGGCAAUAUAACACUCUUUGCAGAUAGUCAAGUGGUAGAGUUUUACCAGAAUCUAGGUUUCCAACCAGACCCUGAAGGAAUCAAAGGCAUGUUCUGGUACCCGAGACAUUAGAAGACUCUCGCUUGGACAAGGUCACAUUUCUUUCUCCCUAUGUUCUUCUGUUGUAUAACACGAGAUCUUGGAUUGAUAAUAGAACAAAACGAAUGAGUUAUUAUUGAUAUGAUCAUUGUUGAAGUCUGUAUAUCCACUUCAUAGUUAUGAGUAGCAACACUAAGCUAAAUGAACUUCACUUGUGUUUUCGUAA